rnacentral:rRNA from 1 species
CCUACGGGAGGCAGCAGUGAGGAAUAUUGGUCAAUGGGCUUACGCCUGAACCAGCCAAGUCGCGUGAGGGAAGACUGCCCUAUGGGUUGUAAACCUCUUUUGACAGGGAGCAAUUGGCGCUACGUGUAGCGUUAUCGAGAGUACCUGAAGAAAAAGCAUCGGCUAACACCGUGCCAGCGGCCGCGGUAAUACGGGGGAUGCGAGCGUUAUCCGGAUUUAUGGGGUUUAAGGGGUGCGCAGGCGGAAUGCCAAGUCAACGUGAAAAUCGCGGGCUUAAACUUAGGGACGCCGUUGAAACUGGCGGGCUUGAGUGGGCGAGAGGUAUGCGGAAUGCGUGGUGUAGCGGUGAAAUGCAUAGAUAUUACGCAGAACUCCGAUGGCGAAGGCAGCAUACUGGAGCGAAACUGACGCUGAAGCACGAAAGCGUGGGGAGCGAACAGGAUUAGAUACCCCAGUAGUC